rnacentral:rRNA from 1 species
CGAGGCCGAAAGGCGUAGUCGAUGGGAAACAGGUUAAUAUUCCUGUACUCGGUGUUACUGCGAAGGGGGGACGGAGAAGGCUAUGUUGGCCGGGCGACGGUUGUCCCGGUUUAAGCAUGUAGGCGGAUGUUCCAGGUAAAUCCGGAACGUUAUUAACGCUGAGGUGUGAUGACGAGGCACUACGGUGCUGAAGUGACAAAUGCCCUGCUUCCAGGAAAAGCCUCUAAGCAUCAGGUAACAUCAAAUCGUACCCCAAACCGACACAGGUGGUCAGGUAGAG